rnacentral:rRNA from 1 species
UACAGAGGGUGCAAGCGUUAAUCGGAAUUACUGGGCGUAAAGCGCGCGUAGGCGGUUAUUUAAGUCGGAUGUGAAAGCCCCGGGCUCAACCUGGGAAUUGCAUUCGAUACUGAGUAACUAGAGUAUGAGAGAGGGAGGUAGAAUUCCACGUGUAGCGGUGAAAUGCGUAGAUAUGUGGAGGAAUACCGGUGGCGAAGGCGGCCUCCUGGCUUAAUACUGACGCUGAGGUGCGAAAGCGUGGGGAUCAAACAGG